ensembl:lncRNA
CCUUGUUUCUUUGUGUUUUUGUUUUCUUUCCAGAGUCAUUACUCCCAACUUCCAGCAUGACAACCCAAAAGGUCCAGAAACAGUGUUUGGUACAACGAGGCCUCCUGGAAUGGCAUUAUCACUGUACAAACAGCAGGUGAUGAGACUAAAGAAGCAAAAGACAAGGGGGGAAAUUGCGUGCCUGGGUGAGAUUCACAUGGAGCUGAGCCGUAAAGGGACUUGCACUGUACUUCAUUUCAGACGGAUCCAGUGAAUUAACAUAUUGUUGCUGCUGCUUGGGUAAUUGAGUGCCCAGGUUCUACCCUGCUCCUGCACAGUCUUCCCUGCCUCCCAAACAGAAAGCAUCUUUCACCUCCAUCAACCAAGGCUGCAAAGUGUGGCCCCAAGACGUUGCUCAAAGAAAAGAGGAGUGGGAGGGUGGAAAGAGGAGGGGGACACUGUUUCCAAAGGCAUAUCUGGCUUGAAGACCUCACUUAUCAAAGAGAAGGAGGUUUUCUAACUAUGGAAGCUCUCCUGAGGAGUUGCAUCAUGCGCUGCUGCCCCUAAAACAGUGUGCAUAUAUUUGGGAGUGAUGAAGAACUGCAAUGUACUGCUGCAUAUUGCUUUAGUGAUGAGAGAGGCUCUCUGGCAUGUCGUACAGCACCAAAACCCAUUCUGGUGUUGACAGCAGAAAUCCUUAACAUUUUUGUAUUUUUUUCCAAGACAGCUGAUAUCUGCUGUGGAUUCUUUGUAUGCAAAUCAAGGUGGUACAACAACAACAAAAAAAGCCCUGAAAGCAGUCACCAAGAUAAACUUGGACCAAUGGGGACAUUCCUGGUUAUCGUUUUUUAACUUUUGGGUUUUUUUUAGCUCUACGCAAGAUACUUCUUUCCCCGCUCUUUCUUACAGUAGUUAAUGUUUGUCCUGGCAGACCUUUUAUUUAUCAAUUACAGUGUUUCUUGCAUUUUAUAUGGCUGCAUAUCAAUAUACAUGAAUAAAAGACAGA